rnacentral:lncRNA from 10 species
UGUUCACCAGAUGCUCGAUUAAUCAGAUAUAUUCAGCUUUCUGCAUUCUAGACACAUGGUGGAAGCUGAAAGCAUCAGUGCUUCCUGCUACGUUGUCUUGCAAGUUCUGCAGCGAAUGUUCAUGCAUGCACCAAGCUGAAGUGGCUGUUAGCCUGAGCCACUGAGUUCCGUGACGAUGGAACACCCCACCCAAGCACCGGCCUCUUUUGCACAUGUAGUAUGAGCAAAAAGCAAACUGUUAAGUUACUCAUUUAUUUUACCGUUGUUCAUGCUACACAACCUAGCCUAACCUUAUGGAUAUCUUUCAAAUUGCUGAAACAUCAAGACAAUCUGAAUCCUACUGCUUUAUCCCAGAUGCUGCCACAUUCCUUGCAAUACAGCCCCUUCCACUAUCUUCAAGGUCCUAGCCUGAGUCCUUCCUUGCUCAAUGAGGAGUCUAAAGACCUUUCACGGCUUUGGAGUUAAGAGGGUGAAAGUAGAAUGAGUAAAAGAUGACAAAUUCCUACCUUUGCUUUCCACAUUAACCACUGCUUGAAGAUAUCAACAUGUCGGCCACACUGAAUAGUUUUAUCCGCCGUGUCAAAGUCAACAUUGUAGAGUUUACCUGACUGGAAAAGAUAUUCAGCUUGCAUCUGAUUACAUGCAUCUAGAAGGCCCUAAAAAAGGAAAAACAUAUCUAACAUCCUUUUGUCUCAUAUGAAAAAUGUGGAAAACAUUCCUCCUCAGUGUUAAAGACUUCAAGAAGCUUUCCUUUGGAAGAUUAAGAAAUAAUCACUAGAAAAGGACAUGUUACCCAUCAUUGAGACAGAAAUGUUUUCUCAGUAUGUAUGUUGCUUCAGCACAUCAAAACCUAAAUUUAUGUGCAUUGAUGGGGUAUAAUUUAAAUGUUAAUUAAGCAGAACUAUUUGUACAAGAGGUAAAUAACAUUAUAUGUAUUUAUGUGUUUGCUAUAUGCUUUCCAUUUCACAUUACAUCAUUUGAUCCUCAUGGAAAACUGAUGGUGUAGGUACUAUAAUGACAACAUUUUUAUAGAUUGAAGAAACUGAGAAUAUUAACAUGUUAAGUAAUUUUCAAGAACAUAUAUCUAUACAAUGAUGAAUUUGGGAGCUGAAAAAAGGGCAGUUUGACUUGAGGUUUGUGGAAACACAACAUCCUAAGGAAGAUAACUCACACUCUGUUUCAGGCUAGGCUUGUGGAUCUAUAGGAAGGACCACAAUGUGACGGUCAGUGUUGAAGUAUUUCAGGGAAAUAGAAUAGAAAUUAUAACUCAAAAAUGAAAAUAGUUUAUGAAUCUGUAUUUUGGGUGUCCUAUUUACACAUGUAAAUAUUUUCUUCUUAGGCUCUUUUGAACCCCCUUUUUAAUCUUUUGUUAGAGCAGGCCUAGAGACUAUUGUAAACACUUUAAAACAGUAUCAUCAAGAUGAGUUUCUGCACAGCAAAAGAAACUACCAUCAGAGUCAGCAGGCAACCUACAGAAUGGGAGAAAAUUUUUGCAAUCUACUCAACUGACAAAGGGCUAAUAUCCAGAAUCUACAAUGAACUCAAACAAAUUUACAAGAAAAAAAACAAACAACCCCAUCAAAAAGUGGGCGAAGGAUAUGAACAAACACUUCUCAAAAGAAGACAUGUAUGCAGCCAAAAGACACAUGAAAAAAUGCUCAUCAUCACAGGUCAUCAGAGAAAUGCAAAUCAAAACCACAAUGAGAUACCAUCUCACACCAGUUAGAAUGGCGAUCAUUAAAAAGUCAAGAAACAACCGGUGCUGGAGAGGAUGUGGAGAAAUAGGAACAUUUUUACACUGUUGGUGGGACUGUAAACUAGUUCAAUCAUUGUGGAAGUCAGUGUGGCGAUUCCUCAGGGAUCUAGAACUAGAAAUACCAU